rnacentral:rRNA from 1 species
UACGGGAGGCAGCAGUGGGGAAUAUUGCACAAUGGGCGCAAGCCUGAUGCAGCGACGCCGCGUGAGGGAUGACGGCCUUCGGGUUGUAAACCUCUUUCAGUACAGAACAAGGCCUUCGGGUUGAGGGUAUGUGCAGAAGAAGCGCCAGCUAACUACGUGCCAGCAGCCGCGGUAAUACGUAGGGCGCGAGCGUUGUCCGGAAUUAUUGGGCGUAAAGAGCUCGUAGGCGGUUUGUCGCGUCUGCCGUGAAAUCCUCUGGCUUAACUGGGGGCGUGCGGUGGGUACGGGCAGACUGGAGUGCGGUAGGGGAGACUGGAAUUCCUGGUGUAGCGGUGGAAUGCGCAGAUAUCAGGAGGAACACCGGUGGCGAAGGCGGGUCUCUGGGCCGUUACUGACGCUGAGGAGCGAAAGCAUGGGGAGCGAACAGGAUUAGAUACCCUG